GGAGACCCUUUUUUUUCUGGUAUCAGAAUAAUUGGGAAGUCAAAUUAAUAGAAAUUCUUUCAGGGAGUGUAAAACAGUACAAGUGGUGGCAGUCUUGCAGGAAAUUGUAUCCAGGCCAGGUGAGUUCUGAUACCUAUGACUUCUUCAGUGGAAUUGAUGUCUUUGUGACAAAACAUUCCGUCAUCACAAACCUUAUUUAUGCUGCAAUUUAGAGAGCUUGCAGUACCUACCAUAUUAUAAAGCACUUUAAAACCCAGAACCCUCCCCACAAACAACCAAGGGCUUUGUCUGUCCCAGCUGAAAUGCCAGCUAACGGGCCAUUGUUGGGGUUUGGGCUUUCCCAAUGAGAAUAUGUGGGUAUAAAUGACAAAGAGACCAAGACACGCUGGAGAAUCACAAGGGGCUCCUGAGUACCCAGACUAGUGGGAGACAGAGUCACAUGACAACAUUGAAGGUGACAAGGAGAAUCGAACCCUCAUGAAUCUGCUCCAAGGCAGGGAUAACAGCAAUUUUCUCCCUCUCCUAUGAAUUAAACUUCCAUUUCCCUUGGUGGCCAGAUCAAGUUACUGAAAGACAAUUUACUUAUCUGGAAAAUGGACUGUGGAGCUAUUCACCAUCUCCAGAAGGAACCGUUUAUGUCCAGAAGCUAUCUGGGCCAAGAAAUUUCCUGACAUGGGAGUUUCCUAAAAUGAUUCAUUCUUCCACCUGUGAGACAAGAACCAAGCUCUCCCACUUCAAGACUAAGCAAGUAGACAGAUCAGCCGGACAGAGAAAUGAGGUAGCUCCUAAUGCCAAAAGAGCUAAAAGACUGAUGCUGUUCAAUGCUGCUUCAAAAUCCUCCAAUGCAGUGUGAGUCAAUCAUACAGUGAUUUGUAAACUUGAAAAUGGCCUCCAUUUACAUCUUGUCAGAAGCCAUAACAGUUCACUUCCUCUAGAGAAGAAAAUAAUAAUAAACAGAAAUAUCAAAAGGAAAUUGCCUUUACA
rnacentral:lncRNA from 12 species